GAGGGUAUAGCUCCAGUGGGAGAGCGCAUGCUUGGCAAGCUUGAGGUCCUGGGUUCAAUCUCCAGUACCUCCU
rnacentral:tRNA from 1 species